rnacentral:rRNA from 1 species
UGCGCAGGCGGAACUUUAAGUCAGUGGUGAAAUCUUGCCGCUUAACGGUAAAAUUGCCAUUGACACUGAAGUUCUUGAAUAUGGUUGAGGUAGGCGGAAUGUGUUGUGUAGCGGUGAAAUGCAUAGAUAUGACACAGAACUCCGAUUGCGAAGGCAGCUUACUAAACCAUUAUUGACGCUGAGGCACGAAAGCGUGGGGAGCGAACAGGAUUAGAUACCCUGGUAGUCC